rnacentral:rRNA from 1 species
UACGUAGGGUCCGAGCGUUGUCCGGAAUUAUUGGGCGUAAAGAGCUCGUAGGCGGUCUGUCGCGUCGGCUGUGAAAACUCAGGGCUCAACCCUGAGCCUGCAGUCGAUACGGGCAGACUAGAGUUCGGUAGGGGAGACUGGAAUUCCUGGUGUAGCGGUGAAAUGCGCAGAUAUCAGGAGGAACACCGGUGGCGAAGGCGGGUCUCUGGGCCGAAACUGACGCUGAGGAGCGAAAGCGUGGGGAGCGAACAGG